GGGUAGCCGGCCUGAGAGGGUGACCGGCCACACUGGGACUGAGACACGGCCCAGACUCCUACGGGAGGCAGCAGUGGGGAAUAUUGCACAAUGGGCGGAAGCCUGAUGCAGCAACGCCGCGUGAGGGAUGACGGCCUUCGGGUUGUAAACCUCUUUUAGCAGGGAAGAAGCGAGAGUGACGGUACCUGCAGAAAAAGCACCGGCUAACUACGUGCCAGCAGCCGCGGUAAUACGUAGGGUGCAAGCGUUAUCCGGAAUUAUUGGGCGUAAAGAGCUCGUAGGCGGUUUGUCGCGUCUGCUGUGAAAUCCCGAGGCUCAACCUCGGGCCUGCAGUGGGUACGGGCAGACUAGAGUGCGGUAGGGGAGAUUGGAAUUCCUGGUGUAGCGGUGGAAUGCGCAGAUAUCAGGAGGAACACCGAUGGCGAAGGCAGAUCUCUGGGCCGUAACUGACGCUGAGGAGCGAAAGGGUGGGGAGCAAACAGGCUUAGAUACCCUGGUAGUCCACCCCGUAAACGUUGGGAACUAGUUGUGGGGUCCUUUCCACGGAUUCCGUGACGCAGCUAACGCAUUAAGUUCCCCGCCUGGGGAGUACGGCCGCAAGGCUAAAACUCAAAGGAAUUGACGGGGACCCGCACAAGCGGCGGAGCAUGCGGAUUAAUUCGAUGCAACGCGAAGAACCUUACCAAGGCUUGACAUACACGAGAACGGGCCAGAAAUGGUCAACUCUUUGGACACUCGUGAACAGGUGGUGCAUGUUUGUCGUCAGCUCCUGUCGUGAGAUGUUGGGUUAAGUCCCGCAACGAGCGCAACCCUCGUUCUAUGUUGCCAGCACGUAAUGGUGGGAACUCAUGGGAUACUGCCGGGGUCAACUCGGAGGAAGGUGGGGAUGACGUCAAAUCAUCAUGCCCCUUAUGUCUUGGGCUUCACGCAUGCUAC
rnacentral:rRNA from 1 species